UAUAAAGUUAAAAAAUCAAGAGUUAAAUAUUACGUUUGACAUGUAAAUCUAAAUUUGAAGUUCAAAUAGAGGCAUAAAUAACUUUUUAUUAUAGAAAAAAAAAAGAAAAUAAAAGGAAAUGAGCAUAUAAAAUAAAACGACUGUGCUUUAAGCAACAGUUUGCUUAAUAAAAUCACUAAAUGCAUCCAAAGCAGCCAAUGAAGUUGCUGGAAAUCCUUUAUCAAAUUUAGCUCCAAUUUCCUUUGCUCUUUUCUUCAUUUCACUGUCUCCCAUUACCUUAUCUAUUCCCUUCAUUAUAUCAUCCUUCUUUACCUUCUCCAAGCAAUCGUCACAUACACUGUAUCCCACCUUAAGAUGACUCACUAUCAACUUGGCAUCAUAGUAUUGGUCACCCCUUAAGGGCCAUGUUAAAAAUGGGACCCCUCUUCCUAGCCCCUCCAUCGUUGAAUUCCAUCCGCAGUGUGAUAAAAAUCCACCUGUUGAUGGAUGACUCAGUAUCAACAAUUGUGGUGCC
rnacentral:misc_RNA from 1 species